AUUGAACGCUGGCGGCAGGCCUAACACAUGCAAGUCGAGCGGCAGCGGGAAAGUAGCUUGCUACUUUUGCCGGCGAGCGGCGGACGGGUGAGUAAUGCCUGGGAAAUUGCCCAGUCGAGGGGGUUAACAGUUGGAAACGACUGCUAAUACCGCAUACGCCCUACGGGGGAAAGCAGGGGACCUUCGGGCCUUGCGCGAUUGGAUAUGCCCAGGUGGGAUUAGCUAGUUGGUGAGGUAAUGGCUCACCAAGGCGACGAUCCCUAGCUGGUCUGAGAGGAUGAUCAGCCACACUGGAACUGAGACACGGUCCAGACUCCUACGGGAGGCAGCAGUGGGGAAUAUUGCACAAUGGGGGAAACCCUGAUGCAGCCAUGCCGCGUGUGUGAAGAAGGCCUUCGGGUUGUAAAGCACUUUCAGCGAGGAGGAAAGGUCAGUAGCUAAUAUCUGCUGACUGUGACGUUACUUGCAGAAGAAGCACCGGCUAACUCCGUGCCAGCAGCCGCCGUAAUAC
rnacentral:rRNA from 1 species